rfam:Felis catus isolate Cinnamon breed Abyssinian chromosome D2, whole genome shotgun sequence.
GCCUGGGUGGCUCAGUUGGUUGAGCAUCUGACUUUGGCUCAGGUCAUGAUCUCACGGUUCAUGAGUUUGAGCCCCUCAUCAGGCU